GUAGUAUUCCUUCCGUCCCAAAAUUCUUAUCUUACAUUUGUUUAGAUACGGAUGUAUCUAACACUAAAAUGUAACUAGAUACAUCCGUAUUUAGACAAAUUUAAGACAAGAAUUUUGGGACGGAUGGAGUACAAA
rnacentral:pre_miRNA from 1 species